rnacentral:rRNA from 2 species
UACGUAGGGUGCAAGCGUUAAUCGGAAUUACUGGGCGUAAAGCGUGCGCAGGCGGUUGUGUAAGACAGGUGUGAAAUCCCCGGGCUUAACCUGGGAAUUGCAUUUGUGACUGCACGACUAGAGUGUGUCAGAGGGGGGUGGAAUUCCACGUGUAGCAGUGAAAUGCGUAGAUAUGUGGAGGAACACCAAUGGCGAAGGCAGCCCCCUGGGAUAACACUGACGCUCAUGCACGAAAGCGUGGGGAGCAAAC